ACGUCACGAGAGUAGUAGUAUCGCGCUAGGAUGAACGCUGGCGGCGUGCAUAACACAUUCAAGUCGAACGGAACAUGGAGCUUGCUCCAUGUUAGUGGCGGACGGGUGAGUAACGCGUGAGUAACCUGCCUCUGUAUGCGGGAUAACAUCGGGAAACUGAUGCUAAUACGGCAUAAAACACAAGGGUCGCAUGAUCCGUGUGUCAAAGAUUUAUUGUACAGAGAUGGGCUCGCGUCCGAUUAGAUAGUUGGUAGGGUAAUGGCCUACCAAGUCUGCGAUCGGUAGCCGGACUGAGAGGUUGAACGGCCACAUUGGAACUGAGAAACGGUCCAGACUCCUACGGGAGGCAGCAGUGGGGAAUAUUGGGCAAUGGGCGAAAGCCUGAACCCCAGCGACGCCGCGUGAGGGAAGAAGGUCUUCGGAUUGUAAACCUUUGUUGAUGGGGAAGAAGAAAGUGACGGUACCCAUCGAGGAAGCCACGGCUAACUACGUGCCAGCAGCUGC
rnacentral:rRNA from 1 species